rnacentral:rRNA from 1 species
AUGGGUGCAAUGCAUCUAAAGGCACACCCUAAAUUUAGAGAAAAUUUGGGAUGUGACACGGCCACUGGUCAUGUGCGGGACGGCGUGGUGGAAGCGGUCGCCGAGGCCGCGCAGGACGUUGUGGACGAGAUCGUGAUCCUUGACACGGUGAUCGAUGUCCCGAAGAGUGCCGGCCAUCUGCUUGAGCUUGGAGGUGUAGUCGAUGAUGGAGUGGUCUCCUUGGAUGAAGCUAUGGAACUCAUCGAGGAGGUACGUGAUGUUGGUGUCCCGGUUGUUGUGGAAGAGGUAGCAAAGGUACCGCUAGAGCAUGUACGUCGUGCCCUUGUGCUCCUUGAUAAUCUCCAAGGUUAA